AAACUAGGAAUACGUACACACAGAAACAUAAAAGAAACAGUAGUAUCGUUUCAUAAUAGUAUAAAAUAAAAUGUAACUAUUUGCUUAAUUUUAAACUCUACUUUGUUACUUUUACAGUUUGUUACAGUGAGCCCCUUUUUUCUUUGCUUUUUCCUUUUUUUGAUGUGUACUUCCGCGUAGUGUGUUUUUUCCCCCACUGACACUCGGCAAGUUUCGAACAGGAAACCCAUUAGAGCGCUACAGCCGUCGUUUUCUCUUUAUUAGUCGCAGCGUUUGUUUGGAGCUCAGCGCUCUAAGCCAGCCAUGAGCAUCAUUGGGGCUGAAGAUGAGGACUUCGAGAAUGAUUUAGCAGAUACAACAGAUGAAAAAUGCCCACACUUCGACAGCAUCGACUUGUUGAAGAAACGGCCAACUCACUUGCUGGUGUUCAUGCAGCAUGUCAUUCUCCAGUUUGACCCUGCGCCCUUGUUGUGUUAUCUUCACGCUGACAUUGUGAAGAACCUCAGUGCCAGAGACACCAAGAAACAGUUUCCAGAGUUCUUCAACAACUUCUUGGAGAAGGGUGCUAUUCUCAGAGUGUCGAUGCCAUCCAGUUUAUCCUUUGAAUUGGACCGAACUCGCCCAGAAUUGCUGUCAGAUGACACCCAAAGGCGCUAUGCUGCAGAUGUCCAGAAAUUUCAAACUGCAGAAGUAACUAAACAGCUGGAAGAUUUCAGGCAAAAAAGGAUGAUGGGUAUGACCCUCUGUGAGGAGCAGGUGAUGGACGUGGAGAAUCAUUAUCCCACUGACCGCGUCCCGUUGGAAAUGAAGGAGAAGUCUGUGGCCGAGAAUCUGUUGGAGAAGAUGUAUGAUACACAACUUACUUUUGUCCCAGAUGAGGAUAAAUGCCAAGCCAUCUUUUCUGCAGUGGCUGCCUACAUGAAGCACCUUGAAGUCAAAAACAGGGCAGGAGAUAGUAAAAAGUCCAAAAGAGGUUUCCCUUGGAUUAAGCAGAAGAAUCAUGAUCCUCAAAAACCCAAGACUCGGGGGUUCCAUGUUCCCACCUGGAUUGGAGGCAGUAUCGAAGGCAAACCAAAAGAUCCUGAAGUGGACAAAGAUACUAAAGGAAGGGAAGUUAAAGGGAGUUCUGGCAGAGGCUCGUUGACCGAAUCGCAAGUUCCUUCCAUCAAAAAACCUGAAAACUCAGCCUUAGUUCCAAAUGCGGAGCCUGCUGGCAACAACUUGACCCCCACCACCACAGAGCCCACUCCAACUGAUGGUCAGCCAAGCAGUUGCUUAGAGCUCCCCUCGCCGACAGAGGGGCCCCUUCCAGAGAUCGGAGCCGGGGUUUCUGUUGUUGAGCACAACUUACCCCACGACGCUCACCCAGAGGAGUCGGACAGAGAAAGACGGAAGCCAAGCAGGAAAGUAGGACGCAGCGAGAGCGCCCGUGUGGACCGGCACUCUUCUCGGCGGCGUGGCUCUUCUCGUAAACAGUCUCGGUCCCGUAGCGACGUGGACCUGCAGCCUCCAUCUUCUGCAACAACUUCCGCCCCGCUGUCCCCGCAGCUCCUCCAUCCUUUGGAUGGACCAGCUUUCCCUGCUGACUUGGCUGGCCAGGCCCCAACAAGCCCGUACCCACAGUUGGAGGAGAUUGACCCCCGCUUGCAGGAGUUGGAGCAGGACCCGCCCAGCUGGAGGGUGCUGGCGUCUUCUGAAACCUUAAAGAACCUCAGCAAGAAGGAGACCAAGAGGCAGGAAGUCAUAAACGAGUUAUUUGCCACAGAGCAUGCCCACGUGAGAAUGCUGAGUGUCCUUCAGUGGGUGUUUGCCAAGCCGCUGGAGAGGGAGGAAAUCCUUUCUGCGCUGGACCUUGAGACCAUUUUCCCAAGCCUCGAGGAAAUCAUUGACAUGCACUAUACCUUCUAUGAAAGCCUGAAGAAGCUGCGUUUCAGUGACAACUACAUUGUUAAAAACAUCAGCCACACAUUGCUCAACAGGUUUGGUGGCACUGAAGGAGAAUGGUUUCAGAAACUGACAGCCAGAUUCUGCAGUUACCAGACCUAUGCUCUGGACCAGAUCAAGCAAAGACAGAAGAAAGAUGCUCGCUUUAACUCUUUUAUACAGGAGGCAGAGAGUAAACCCCAGUGCCGCAGACUGCAACUCAAAGACAUUAUUCCUACAGAAAUGCAGAGGCUAACAAAGUAUCCACUGUUGCUGGAAAACAUUGCAAAGAACACAGAGGAAAAAGAGGAGAAGGAGUCAAUCCAGCAAAGCGCAGAGUGCUGCAGAAAGAUCCUCAACCAUGUCAAUGAAGAGGUCAAAACAAUGGGGAACAUGUUGACUCUAAAGGAGUACCAGAAAAAACUGGACACAUCGGGGCUGAAAGCCAGUGUUGAACUUUAUACUGAAUAUAAGAGCAUUGACUUGACUCAGAGGAAGAUGCUUUUUGAAGGUCCGCUGGUCUGGAGAGUCACCAAAGAGAAGGCUAUUGAUGUGCAUUGCUUGCUGCUGGACGAUAUGAUGGUUCUUGCACAGAAGCAGGAGGACAAGAUGUUGCUAAAAUGCCAGAGUAAAAGUAACACUGCACAGGAGGGCAAGCAGAUGCUGAGCCCAAUUAUAAAGCUUGACUCUGUUUUCCUCCGUGAAGUGGCAACAGAUCGGAAGGCUUUUUAUGUGAUAUUCACUUGGGAAAGUGGUGCUCAGAUCUAUGAGCUGGUGGCUCAGUCUGUUGCAGAAAUGAAAACUUGGCAUGAUAUAAUAAAGUCAACGGUUGACGUUCUGAAGAAGAGUGGAUCAUCCAUGCGGUUACAUAUUCCUCCUGGAGUUGGGAUAACUCCUCUCAGUCCCACCACGCUGAAUGUCCCAUUGAAUCCAUCUGAGAAUGGAGGUUUAAGAGGCAGCAGUGACCAAGAAAGGGACAGUGUGACAGAUGACAACGCUGUUCAUCCAAGGGUCAAGCUGAUAGAGAUGUUGACUGACAGGGGCCUCUUUCAGGUGCUGGAUCAUUCCAGCAGGAACCAGGAGAAGUUGGCUGACAGUGCUUUGAAUGAAGUAAUGUCACUUAAAAGAUUGCUGAUCGGCAGCAUCAGUCUGUCAGAGGACACGCAGCAUGAAGAACAUAAAGAGGAGCAACCAGAGAAGCCUUCUGAUGAAACAGAGGUCCUUCAGCCAACAGUAGAAAGCGAAUCUACAGAGAGCGGAUACAUGCAGGUGAACACCAGUCCCUCUAAGAAGGAAGAUGGAGCAAAACAAGAAGAUGAAGAUGGGAGUAUCAGUGCCCCUCUGGUCUUGUCCCAGGAGAGAAGGGACGAAGUAAGCAGAAGGCUGGACAGCCUGCAGCAAAUGAUACAGAGACUACAGGCUAUGGAAGAGGAGCAUCACAAGCUGAGCGAGGUCCUUUCUGAGUUCUCGCUGGAAGGCGCCAACUUCCAAUAAGAUGCCACUUUGCCACCUGCUGGUGACAAGGUGAGAACAACAAACUAGAUCCCUGAAUUUGGUUUUCUUCUGGCUCUGGUUCAGAACAACAUGACUUUCAGAGGCUUCCCUGGAACUCCCCUCCGCCCCCAAACAAACUUCUUGCCUGGAUCCAAGCUGUCACUAUUAUAUCUUUGCAUCAGAGCUGUUUGCUGCCAAAGCAGGAAGUUUUCCGUCUGCCAGAGGAGUGUAAUGGCUUUGUGCUCGGUGAUGGAGUGUGGAAGGUGUAUGUGUAUGUGUGUGUGCAUGCGUUUGUCUGUUUGGAUGCAUGUUUGAAACAAAGAUAUGGAAUGGAAGAAAAAAAAAGAAAGGAGAUAUCCUGCUUUUGAGUGGGAGGUUGUUUUUGCAGAGAGGUGCCAAAAGUAAUGAAGCAAUAUUUUGGUGUGAGAGACAUGCUGCCUAAUGAAAUGUAGUCUUUUCUUUCUGCUGUAACACACAUAUGCACACCCAAGACAUGUAUGCUGGAACAUAAUUGACAGUAAUGCCAAAAAUAGUAAUGUAUAGGAAAAACAAACCCUCAAAGGGUAAUGUAGCAUUAGAAGGAUUAUAAAAAAAAACAAAAAAAAAAACUGCUGGUAUGUAUUAUUUCUAGUUUAUGCCAAAGUACAACAUAGAUGCACUUUUUUCCUGAUCAAGACGAGUUAAAAACACACUGUAACCACAAAAUUUCUUAUUUAAACUCUGUUUCAGUAUGCGUUUCUCAUCUGUUGGGCUUUAUGUGAGCAGCCCUCUGUAUCGGAAGGAUGCAUGCAAGAAAGUGUGUGUAUGUGUGUUACCGGGUUUGAGAACGUGUUUAUUUGGAAUUUCCUUUCUGUUAUUCUCAGUAAAACAUUUAUGAAUAGCGGCACUAUAGGCAAUCAUGCUGUUGAUAAUGGAGACGUGUUUGUAUGUACUGCUUUUAUUUAUUCCUCUGAGGAUUUUUUAGGUCAGCGAGUUGCCUCAUCUUACUGAUACUGUUACAACACUGGGCCAGGUUGAGGCAAGAGCGGCGUGCAAAGGUUGGACAAGGCUGCAGGAGGAAUUCUGGGAUAUGUAAUGCACAUCAAAGGUGGAAAGAGUGAAAACACAUAGGCCUGAGAAGAAUGUUUGGAGUUUCUUGAUGUUUUUGGCUUUGGAUAGUUUGAUAGAAGGUCAUGAAGAGGACCGUGGAGAGAACCUGAGUUUAGGAUUUGUGCUGAUGAAAUUUGAACUCCUAACUGUACCUAAAACGCACCCAGAACUUCAGACUUGUUCAUAAACGCACCGUUUCUGCAGCAUCCAGAGUUUGCAACUUCUGAUUUGAAACAUGCUUCAGUUGGGGUUAAGAUUUGUAUUAUAUAACAUUCGAUGCGUAUAUUAUUCAUUAUAAAGUCCCAACUAGCAAUAUUUGUAUCAACGCUUUUCCUGCCUUUGUAUUUUACUCAGCAGUUGAUUGUAAUUGUAAUUGUUGUAGUAUAAUUCCUAAGUAGUGGCAUGAUUGAGACUGUGCACACAGGACCAAAGACAUGACAUAAAGCACAUUUAAGAGUGGAAAAAGUGUUUUUUCAAUAAAAAAAUAAAAAAAUAGGUGAUUUAAAUGAAUGUACUGGUAAAUAUUAUUAGGACCUGUUAAAGCUUUAUGACCAAAUUGCAGCAGUAUUUGCAGGUCUCUGCUUAUGCCAUAGUGACGUUAACCAUCUAACAAUCAUUCAGGUGACCAGGUGCAUAAGAAAUCUAGCUGCAAGAGGCCAAGCACUGUUAAAGAAUUUGCUACCAAACUGUUUGUAUGGGACCUGCAGAGAAAGAAGGCUAGAACAUACUUAAAACUAGACAAUGUAACAAAUGACACUUUCAGGAUUUGAAGGAAAGAAAGCUGUUGUCUCAUUCCAAUGUCACACUGUCAUCAUGAUCACUUCCUGAUAUGCAUUCUCAUUGUUGCCACAACAGAACCUACCUUCUGAACCUACUGAACCUCAAUAUAUUUACACCUUUUAGUCACUUGAGUGCCACAAGAACCAGAAUCCUGUUUGUUUUUUUUAACUAUACCUCCAUUUUUCCCUCAUGUCUUCCUCUUUAAACUGUAUGCAGUAAAAGAUAGUCUGAAGACACUUUCUUACCUGUCUUCAUAGUAUAUUUACCUUUGCCCAACUGCAUAGUUUUACCAGGAGUUUCCAUUAAUGUACUUACAAAUAGGUUGGGGAUGUUAUUUCAUUUUUUUUCAUUGCUUUUUAUAGAAACUCUUGUAAUGUUGUGCUAUGCAUUUCCUGAUUCUGUAAAACAGGGAGGAAUGUCUCAACCAGUGAAUGCACCAAUGAAUUUAGCAAAUAAUCUAACCAUAACAAAUUCUGUUAACAUUUAAAAGUGUGACUUUUGACUUCAAUAACUCUCGUUAUCAAAUUGCAAAACUCAGAAAGCACUCGUGAUGCCUCCAGGCUUCAUUGGCUGGCAACCAUUACAGACAUUUCUCCCUGUUUCUCCCUUUCUUUGAUGCCUUUUCUCAUUUUUUCUACAUGCCAUGUGUAAAGUGUGUUUAUAUAGUGGUGCCUUCUUCUGUCCAUUGAUUUGUUUGCUUCUUAAAGGGCUUGUAAGUAAAAAAAACUAAUUAAAUGAUUAAUAAGAAGUAAGAUAUCAUGCCAGAAUGUUAAUUAGUACAUUCUGUAAUGUUCUAAUCAACAUCCCAGAAUGUUAAUUCAUAUUUAUGGUAAUUAUGUUUUAGGUUCCGACUUCUUCCCCUUUUCUUUCAAACUCCAUUAAAUCCUUAUGACUUGAGCCCACUCAGCCAGCCAGAGCUCUCAUUAAACAAACACACUGCUCCUUCUUUCAGCUUAUUGAUCUUAUAAGAAAACAAAAUGAAUAAUCGAGAACUAUAUUGUGUAUUUGGUAUUGAUUUUUAUGCUGUAAGAGGCUCUUAAAAGAUGUACACCUAAGGAAAAUUGUGGUACGUUUGUGUUUGGUUUUUUUUAUGUUUUGUUUUUUAAAAAUAAACUGGGGAAAUAAAAUGAAAAAUGUGUUGC